rnacentral:rRNA from 1 species
AACGAACGCUGGCGGCAGGCCUAACACAUGCAAGUCGAACGAAGUCUUCGGACUUAGUGGCGGACGGGUGAGUAACACGUGGGAACGUGCCUUUAGGUUCGGAAUAACUCAGGGAAAUUUGUGCCAAUACCGAAUGUGCCCUUCGGGGGAAAGAUUUAUCGCCUUUAGAGCGGCCCGCGUCUGAUUAGCUAGUUGGUGAGGUAAAGGCUCACCAAGGCGACGAUCAGUAGCUGGUCUGAGAGGAUGAUCAGCCACAUUGGGACUGAGACACGGCCCAAACUCCUACGGGAGGCAGCAGUGGGGAAUUUUGCGCAAUGGGCGAAAGCCUGACGCAGCCAUGCCGCGUGAAUGAUGAAGGUCUUAGGAUUGUAAAAUUCUUUCACCGGGGACGAUAAUGACGGUACCCGGAGAAGAAGCCCCGGCUAACUUCGUGCCAGCCGCCGCGGUAAUAC